rnacentral:miRNA from 1 species
CCUCCAGCUGUUUUGGGACUACAAUUCCCCUCAUCCCUGACCACUGGUCCUGUUAGCUAGGGAUGAUGGGAGUUGUAGUCCCAAAACAGCUGGAGG